GUUUGACCAAUGCUAAUGAUAAAAAGUAUCAAAACGUUCUUAAAUACUCUACUUUCCACAGAUAAUUACUUUUUAAAUGGUUGUGAAUUACGUGACUACUAUUAAAUUUGUAAUCUCAGCAUGCCAAAUUUUGCAAAGGUUUAGCUUUAAGCCCAUAAUUCACGUCAUCCAAGCUUUUUUUUUAUGUCAAUCAUACCUCAUUCUUAAUUCGCAAGAUGGUACAGGCAUUGCACAGUAAAGAAUAAUAACAUAUGUGGCAUUACAAUUGGGCAAAGUCUCAUUAGUUAGAGCUGACGAUUAAGGAUUUACAAUUAUUUUGUAAAGAGAGAAAGACUUUGCAUAACAACAUAGACUGUGCCAUUUACCCCCACGGGGGAAAUCUUUGACUGCGACUAGAGUUAUGGAAGGGUACGAGGGCAAUGUACCUCUUAUAACAAUAAGGUAGUAGACUGG